AUCGACGGCGGGAAGUUUCACGAAUCAGCUGGGGAUAAGUUACAGUUCUGAGCUGACAAUCAGUGCAGCGGAUUAAUCCCUUAGAUCAAGUUUCAACUCAAAAUAAAUUUAUCAGUAGGCGCCCUCCACAGGAAAAUGCAAGACAUUCCCCUGAAACACACAUCUGGCCCCGCAAAACUAAGUUCCAGCCCAGGACUUUUCUCGGCCCUUCUGGACUACUUCACCGCUCGUCUGUGCAGAACUCCUUGAGCCGCCGCCCACAACACGUUUGCAAAUUAAGUAAAUUUCAAUAAUUAGCAUAAUUUCACACCGGCACGGUACAAUUUAUCUUCGAGCAAAAAUCUAAUUUUACGUUCUUCUCCCUACGCAAUGUUUACAUUCGCUCAUUCCGCUCUGUCAGUCAUACACACUCAUAGCAUGCCUAACUGUUACCCACUUUUG